UACGGAGGGUGCAAGCGUUAUCCGGAUUCACUGGGUUUAAAGGGUGCGUAGGUGGGGUGGUAAGUCGGUGGUGAAAUCUCCGAGCUUAACUUGGAAACUGCCAUUGAUACUAUCAUUCUUGAAUAUUGUGGAGGUAAGCGGAAUAUGUCAUGUAGCGGUGAAAUGCUUAGAUAUGACAUAGAACACCAAUUGCGAAGGCAGCUGGCUACACAUAUAUUGACACUGAGGCACGAAAGCGUGGGGAUCAAACAGG
rnacentral:rRNA from 1 species